AAACUUCAUAUCUUUGUUUUUAGAUGGCAUUUAUUUAUGAUGGAUGUAAGUGAUUUAUAUUUUAAAAUACAAAGUAAUAUAGGACUUUUAAGUACUUGGCGCUACUCAUUUGCUUUAUUUCCAUAAAAAGUAAUUGGAAUAACAAAAAUUUAACCCAAUUAUUCUUUGAAAUACAAAGCAAACAAAUGUGGAAAUUUAUUGAGUUAUUUAGAUGUUAUUUGACCAUUCUAAUAAUUUACAUUAAUAUAAAUAAUAGUUGUAGGUGGAAUAAGUAGGCUUAUGUUAUAUGAUUUAAGAGGGGGAAAAAAAAGAAAUCCUGACAUUAAAAAAAUUUAAAUCCCUUCCAUCUCUUAUAAUGAUAACUUACAAUUUAAGCUACCUUGAUACAAAAGAAGGAUUUAAGAGCAGUUUUAAUAGCAGCAGUAGGGGCAGUGUAACCAGAUAGCUGCCUACUUAAUUUCGCCUUGAUCCUGGAUUAAUAAAUAGUACUACUUUCACAAGAUCUGCCAUUGAGAAUGAUAUCACUUAUUGUAAUUAUCAACCUACCUUUAUGACAUUCUAUUUUUAGGUUAUUUAUUAAAUAACUGAUUUGCAUACAUUUUUAGUAUACAGAAAAAGGUGGAAUCCUUAAAGUGUUCAGAUUUUAUUUAAUGGAUAUGAUUAACACCUUGUGCAUUCUUACAUUUUACUGUGUGCAGAAUUAAACAGUUUUCUUCGCCCAUCAUAUAAAAGACACAAUCACAGUUUUUUACUUCUGUCAUGCUCCCUUUCUCGGAGCUCUUGGAGUAAAGUUCAUUUGCUCUUGUGGAAUUUCAGCUUUCUACACAAAUCAUUUCAUAUUAGUCAUAGAAUAUAUAGUUGUCUGUGCAUGAGAAAACCGAUUGUAUGUCUCAAGCCUGUUUUAAAUGGCAAUGUUCAUUGUUCAGGAAAAAAAAAAAUACCAUGAAUGUUGAAUUAAUGCCAAAACUUGUAUGGUGUAUUUUGUUGCCUUGAUAUAUAUUUGUUGCAUGUAAAUUAAAUAUUUUAUAGCCAUCAAUAGUGACUUUUUUCCUUUGCUUCUACAGGCUAAUCCUAAACAGAAUAUAAAAUAUGGGAAGAAUUUACUUUUUCUUAUUUUUAAUGGGUAUUUAUUUGGAGAACUACAUUUCAACACAAGUAAAAACUCAAUAUCACUUAUUUAUUUUAAGCAAGAUAUUAACAAGCUAUUACUGCUUAGUGAUGUGAGAGCUAGGGCUUGGGAUUGACAAGAGCUUUAGGUUAGAUAACUGGAAAGUCUUGUUAUUUAUUGUCUAAUGAUGGUGGCGCUAACCUAGCAAAAAGAACUUAAUCAAAAGAAGAGGAUUCUUCUUGGUCC
rnacentral:lncRNA from 1 species